rnacentral:rRNA from 1 species
CCCUUAGAUGUUCUGGGCCGCACGCGUGCUACACUGACCGGCGCAACAAGUUUCUUUCCUUGGCCCGAUAGGCCUGGGUAAUCUUUGAACGCCGGUCGUGAUGGGGAUAGAUCCUUGCAAUUUUUGAUCUUCAACGAGGAAUUCCUAGUAAAUGCGAGUCAUCAUCUCGCGUUGAUUACGUCCCUGCCCUUUGUACACACCGCCCGUCGCACCUACCGAUUGAAUGGUCCGGUGAAGCCUCGGGAUUGCGAAUGCUUCGUGCGGACGCGAGAACUUGGCUAAACCUUACCAUUUAGAGGAAGGUGAAGUCGUAACA